rnacentral:rRNA from 1 species
UACGUAGGGUGCGAGCGUUAACCGGAAUUACUGGGCGUAAAGCGUGCGCAGGCGGUUCGUUGUGUCGGCGGUGAAAGCCCCGGGCUUAACCUGGGAACUGCCUUUGUGACUGCAUAGCUAGAGUACGGUAGAGGGGGAUGGAAUUCCGCGUGUAGCAGUGAAAUGCGUAGAUAUGCGGAGGAACACCGAUGGCGAAGGCAAUCCCCUGGACCUGUACUGACGCUCAUGCACGAAAGCGUGGGGAGCAAACAGG